GGCCGCAUGGCCCAAUUGGCAAGGCGCUUGACUACGAUUUCCAAACUUCCAAAGUUCGGUUGCAAUCAAGCGAUUCUGGGUUCGAAUCCCAGUGUGGUCA